ensembl:Y_RNA Y_RNA Y RNA
GGCUGGUCCAAAGGCAGUGAGUUAUCUCAAUUGAUUGUUCACAGUCAGUUCCAGACCAAACUCCUUGCCCUACUCUUUCCCCACUUCUCACUACUACACUUGACUAGUCUUAA